rnacentral:rRNA from 1 species
CACGUAGGGGACGAGCGUUGUCCGGAUUCAUUGGGCGUAAAGCGCGCGUAGGCGGCUCGGAAAGUCGGUCGUGAAAUGCCGGGGCUCAACCCCGGGACUGCGUCCGAUACUUCCGGGCUGGAGGUAGGUAGGGGAGAUCGGAAUUCCUGGUGUAGCGGUGAAAUGCGCAGAUAUCUGGAGGAACACCGGUGGCGAAGGCGGCAUCCUGGACCGACACUGACGCUGAGGAGCGAAAGCCAGGGGAGCAAACGGG